rnacentral:tRNA from 1 species
GGAGAGGUGACCGAGUGGCCGAUGGUGCAGCACUGGAAAUGCUGUGUACCGCAAGGUACCGCGGGUUCGAAUCCCGCCCUCUCCGCCA